rnacentral:lncRNA from 1 species
CGGAGACUGCGGCAAAAAGAGGAAAGGAGGGUUACGGGCACCGAGGGGGAGCUGGAGUCAGCCGCAAGGAGAGAGGGAGCGGGGGAGGAAAAGAGGCGGGAGAGAGACCCUAAAAAGCAAGCUAGACUCUCCAGCCGGCCGCUCUGGUGUGGGGAGGGAGCGUCAUCUCAAGGACACUGAAAAAGCUGUUUGCCGUUUUGCUGUUUGCCUCCUUGUCACGACCUCAGCGACGGCAGAUGGAGCCAGUGGAGGGAGAGAGACAGACGGCAAUGCUUGGGUAGCCAGGGCUCCCUGCCGGCCCCACUCCUCCUGCAGACACGAGCACGCACACACACACGCGCGCAAAACACACACGCUGCCCUUCGCCACACGUAGCCAAGUAAAAUACACAAAAAGCAACUGAGAUACCAUUCGCACAUGACCACAUGGAAACACACAAAUGAACAAACGCAUUCAGGCAUAGCCACAUGCCAGUCACACAGAUGGAUAGACAAGAGCCUGGGGUACAAAGCCACAUGGCACAAAGCCACCUGGAUGUAUAUGCCCCUACACACGCACACAGAAAAAAACAUGCAAACUUAAGUACACACCUAUCCAGACAAGUGUGAGUGCACACACACACACACUCACACACUCUACCUGACACGUUAGUGCAUCCCCAUUGGGCCCCAGUUUCUCUCAGCAAAUUCAGAUCACCCAGCCUGACUUCAAAACCUGCCCCCUUCCAUUCCCCUUCAUGCUGGUUCCUGAAUCCAGCUCGUUGCUCCAGGCUAGCAAAGCUGUCCACAGCCUCAUUUGUGGUUUGCUCACCUGCCUCAGCACCAUCAGCCAGAGGGGGCGAGGAACGCGGCUCUGCGGAGGAGCGGAAUCUUCUCAGCAGCGAUCUGCGAAGGGCUCAGCGGCCACAGGAGGGCGGCAGAGAACAGCGCUCCCUACAGAUCCAGACGUCGGCCCUGGAUGCUGUCUGGAAUCCAGCACUGGGGCUGCUGGCACAGAAGGACCCUGUGGCUUUUCCUUCAUGGUAUAGCAGAUGACACCCACGCUCCUCCGUGACAUUCCCUAGGGUCCCAGCUGAUAACUGGAGCUAGAACUAGAACCCACGACUUCUUGGUUCUCUGCGCAGGGGUCUUCCCAUUGUGUCAGCUGCAGCUCCUGAAAUAAAACCAUACCCUACAGGCCACAACCAGACAGCAUCUCAAAUCCCUGGCUUAAACAAUCAAUGCCAAAGCUACUGUGUUCCAUAUGUUUACAUAUGGAACUGGUGCAUACAAGACUGUUAACCCAGGACACAGAUGUGUGCUGUAGCUACCUGGCUGUGCACCCCUCAUCCUCAGGUACAUGGCCCUCUGUCCCUUCUCUUCCUACUUUCUGAACUGCAAAAGAAGCUUCUCUUCAUUUAUAAUUUGGCCUUUUCACUGGAGUUCCAGAAACUCCUCAAAGCUGUAGACACAGAAGCCCUUUCCCAGUUCUAACCUUG